CGAUAUGCUUUGGGGAGCUGUACGUAAGCGUUGAUCCAGAGAUUUCCGAAUGGGGGAACCCACUAUCUUUAGUCGGAUAGUAUCCUUACGUGAAUACAUAGCGUAAGGAAGGCAGACCCAGGGAACUGAAACAUCUAAGUACCUGGAGGAAGAGAAAGAAAAAUCGAUUUCCUGAGUAGCGGCGAGCGAAACGGAAAGAGCCCAAACCAAGAAGCUUGCUUCUUGGGGUUGUAGGACACUCUAUACGGAGUUACAAAAGAAAGUUAUAAAUGAAGCGGUCUGGAAAGGCCCGCCAAAGACGGUAACAGCCCGGUAGUUGAAAUGGCUUUCCCUCCAGAGUGGAUCCUGAGUACGGCGGAACACGUGAAAUUCCGUCGGAAUCCGGGAGGACCAUCUCCCAAGGCUAAAUACUCCCUAGUGACCGAUAGUGAACCAGUACCGUGAGGGAAAGGUGAAAAGCACCCCGGAAGG
rnacentral:rRNA from 1 species